rnacentral:rRNA from 1 species
UACAGAGGGUGCGAGCGUUGUUCGGAAUUAUUGGGCGUAAAGGGCGCGUAGGCGGUGCGGUAAGUCACCUGUGAAAUCUCCUGGCUCAACUGGGAGCUUGCAGGCGAAACUGCCGUGCUGGAGUGUGGGAGAGGCGCGUGGAAUUCCUGGUGUAGCGGUGAAAUGCGUAGAUAUCAGGAGGAACACCUGUGGCGAAAGCGGCGCACUGGACCACAACUGACGCUGAGGCGCGAAAGCUAGGGGAGCAAACAGG